UACGUAGGGAGCAAGCGUUGUCCGGAAUCAUUGGGCGUAAAGCGCGCGUAGGUGGCCUCAUAAGUCCGCUGUGAAAGUCCAAAGGCUCAACCUUUGAAAGCCGGUGGUAUACUGUGAGGCUAGAGUACGGAAGAGGCGAGUGGAAUUCCUGGUGUAGCGGUGGAAUGCGCAGAUAUCAGGAGGAACACCAAUAGCGAAGGCAGCUCCGCUGGGACGUUACUGACACUGAGGCGCGGAAAGCGUGGGGAGCGAACAGGA
rnacentral:rRNA from 1 species